rnacentral:rRNA from 1 species
UGCGUAGGCGGUCCGAUAAGUCUGAUGUGAAAGCCCUGGGCUCAACUCAGGAACUGCAUUGGAAACUGACGGACUGGAGUACCGGAGAGGGAAGCGGAAUUCCUGGUGUAGCGGUGAAAUGCGUAGAUACCAGGAGGAACACCGGUGGCGAAAGCGGUUUCCUGGCCGAGUACUGACGCUGAGGCACGAAAGCGUGGGAGCAACG